rfam:Mus musculus chromosome 7, GRC primary reference assembly.
UGGCUCAGUGGUUAAGAGCACUGAUUGCUCUUCCAGAGGUCCUGAGUUCAAAUCUCAG